UACGAAGGGGGCUAGCGUUGUUCGGAAUCAUUGGGCGUAAAGCGCACGUAGGCGGAUGUGCCAGUCAGGGGUGAAAUCCCGGAGCUCAACUCCGGAACUGCCUCUGAUACAGCACGUCUUGAGUUCGAGAGAGGUGGGUGGAAUUCCUAGUGUAGAGGUGAAAUUCGUAGAUAUUAGGAAGAACACCGGUGGCGAAGGCGGCCCACUGGCUCGAUACUGACGCUGAGGUGCGAAAGCGUGGGGAGCAAACAGG
rnacentral:rRNA from 1 species